GAUGAAGAACGUAGUGAAAUGCGAUAAGUAAUGUGAAUUGCAGAAUUCAGUGAAUCAUCGAAUCUUUGAACGCACAUUGCGCCCGCCAGUAUUCUGGCGGGCAUGCCUGUUCGAGCGUCAUUUCAACCAUCAAGCCCCCGGGCUUGUGUUGGGGACCUGCGGCUGCCGCAGGCCCUGAAAAGCAGUGGCGGGCUCGCUGUCACACCGAGCGUAGUAGAUUUUAUCUCGCUCUGGGCGUGCCGCGGGUUCCGGCCGUUAAACCACCCUUUUAACCCAAGGUUGACCUCGGAUCAGGUAGGAAGACCCGCUGAACUUAAGCAUAUCAAUAAGCGGAGGA
rnacentral:misc_RNA from 1 species